CGGCAAUCACUUAUAUGAACCCCUAUUGCAGUGGAUGACCAGCCCUCAUCAUUCUCACCGAGUUCUUAACGCCGGCGAGUAUGGUCAAAAAAAAGUCGUCAGAAGCUCUAUAACCACCACCAGCCAAGCUGCUCUGAUAGUCAGCUACUGCUUGCUAACAAAGUAGUUGCCAUUGUUGUAAGAGGUCACAGAUAUGCAGCCUGGAAAUUGGCCCUGACUGGAAAAGAUGUUUGGAUAUAGGGCCGCCUCGCGUUUGCCAGUUAGCCAUUAUUCCGCCCUCAGCAAUGACACUGAAGCAGGGAGCAUAGAGAAUCAUAUUCCAUGUUUAUGGCACAGGUGAAGAAGAAUCUGAAGAAAAAUUG
rnacentral:sRNA from 1 species